UACGUAGGGGGCUAGCGUUAUCCGGAAUUAUUGGGCGUAAAGAGCUCGUAGGCGGUUUGUCGCGUCUGCCGUGAAAGUCCGGGGCUCAACUCCGGAUCUGCGGUGGGUACGGGCAGACUAGAGUGAUGUAGGGGGAGACGUGGAAUUCCUGGUGUAGCGGUGAAAUGCGCAGAUAUCAGGAGGAACACCGAUGGCGAAGGCAGGUCUCUGGGCAUUAACUGACGCUGAGGAGCGAAAGCAUGGGGGAGCGAACAGG
rnacentral:rRNA from 1 species